rnacentral:rRNA from 1 species
GUCCUGGCCCUAAACGGUGCGCACUUGCUGUGAGUAGAUUUAAAACCUACUCGUGGCGUAGUUAACACGUUAAGUGCGCCGCCUGAGGAGUACGGUCGCAAGAUUAAAACUCAAAGAAAUUGACGGGGGCCUGCACAAGCGGUGGAGUAUGUGGCUUAAUUCGAUGCAACGCGAAGAACCUUACAUGGUCUUGACAUGCAAGUAGUAGAAGCCUGAAAGGGUGACGAGGUAGCAAUACCAGCUUGCACAGGUGCUGCAUGGCUGUCGU